CAGGCUGCAGGAGAGGAGGCAGCAUGGCUACUCCCCUCCCCUUUCCCCAGGGAAAAGCAGCGGCAGAGGCAGGGUUGCUUCUUGGGAGGGGGCCGUGGGCCUCCGGGCAUAAUGCCUGGGUCUCAAUGUCGCUGUGCAGGGAUGGCUUGGCCAGCACACUUGCACACACGCAUGCACGCCGACCCAAGCGGGCACUCGCUGUGGGCCGUGGGCAUGGCGCUGGGGUUUUUGCCAAGAGCAGAAUGUGUGGGCAGCAGCGCAGCAGCUACUGAGCUGGCAGAGCGAGGACUCCCAGCGGCGGAGGGUAAAAUAUCUCAACAGUCGCAAGCUUUUCAUCAUCAGAAUAACAAAGUCCAAAAAAAAAAAAAAAAAAAAAAAAAACCAAUCUGGCCUUACCAAGGAAGUUGCUCGUCAGAUCGUGAAACAAUAUGGGGUGUGCCCACAAAGUUCCUCUGUUCCUCACUUUGAAGUAAACCCUGGAGACCGCCUUCCUAACCAUUUAUGGAGAAUGGAUGUUGCUCCUAUUAUGGAAUUUGGUAAAUUAAAAUAUGUGCAUAUGACAAUAGAGACUUACUCAGGAUGUUUGACGGCCAGUUGCCAAGAUGGAGAAGCCACUACUCCUGUAAUUGCAAACUGCCUGAAAUAUCUCUCCAAUACAGGGAUACCAAAAGCCAUUAAAUCUGAUAAUAUAUCUGGAUAUAUCAAUAAAGCAUUUCAGCAAUUUUGUUCCCAAUAAAAAAUUGAGCAUAGAACAGGCAUUCCUUAUAAUCCUCAAGGACAAGGCAUCGUUGAGCAAGCCCAUGGCGGUCUCAAGAUGCAGCUUCAAAAAAUUAAGAGGGGAGAGCUGUACCCUCAAUCACUGCAUAGUACAUUGAAUCAUACCCUCUUCAUUUUGAAUUUUUUGAAUGUGGAUGCCCAUGAACAAUCUGCCAUGGACAGAUUUUGGCAUGAUGGCACCUGAACAACUUUUGCUUAGGUGAAAUGGACUGAUCCUUGCUCUGGAUUAUGGAAAGGACUCUGUUUUAAUCUGGGGUCGAGGGCAUGUUUGUGUUUUUUCACAGGAAGAAAAUGAAGCUUGAUGGGUGCCUGAGCACUUGGUGCAGUGCAUAGAACAGAGGAAUGUCAGCUCUGAUGAUACCGUAGCUGCUGACACUCCCCUAGAAGAAUUAGAGUGAGACUUGCUGAACCUGUGUUCCUGAUCAUCCAGUGUUACAUCCUGCAGUCUGGGGAGGGAAGGAAUGAUUCCUGGCUUCUUGAUAGACCUGCUGUACAAAUUUCCUAGACCUCUGUAAGUUCCAAUCAUUCUAAAUCUGGCCAAGGAAUGCCUAUCUGUUUGUGACUGGAAGCUUGGCCGUUUGUCCACAUUACAUCUUGGGAUUCGGAGGUCAUCUUUGCCAAUAUAAUGUUUAUCUGCUGAUUGCCCGAGGGAACAGAAGGCCUGGAGAACAGUUGCCUCAGUUUUCCUUCUGUGGGAAAGAGACUCACUGGAGCAAUCGAACACUGUUACAGAGGCAGUAUGCUAGAUGGUUGAGGAAUCAAAUUGGAGGUACUGAAAAGGCCUCCCAGACUGAUGAGGAGAAAUUGGGACAAAAGUAUUGCUGCUAUUUGAUGCUCUGGGACUGGACAGCUCAAACAUAUGUUUGGAAGUUGGUGGCAGUGAUGCACUGGACUUUAGGAGAGGAAAAAGAAAAGAUUAAAAAAUUGUGGGGUUACUGAUACCUCACCCACAACAAAAACAUUUUCUUGUCCCUAAUUUGGAUCAUAGUUGUUAAGAAUUGUAAUUUAACCAAUUAUGUGUCCAUUGCUAAAUUCAUAUUAAAAUUAGGAUGAUAACCUGUGUAAUAUUAAGAUAUUGUAAAAAUAGAGCACAAGCUGAAUGCUUUAUUUGAAGUAGUACAAUUGUUAAAGAUAAGAGCUCAUUUGAAAUGUCAGUCUAAAUUUAACUAGAUAUGUGUAACCUCUUCUGUUUACAAGGAAAGUAUUACUGGAUGGAAAAAGGUGAGAGCUCAUCUGAGAGGAAUUUGGUAUGAUGCUAAAGGGGUCUUUAGAUUUGAUGCAGUUGCAUCAGGAGUUUAAUGAUUUAAAAAAGGCGCAGUUGGAUUUUGAGGCAGCUAAAAUUGAUGUGGACAUCCUGGACCAUUUAAAAAGGCCAUUCUGUCUUGAUCAUCCUUUAUUCCUUUACUAGGAGGUAUAUCGAUCAUAGGAGAAGGUGUAUUGCUAUGAUUACUCAAACUACUUGCAAGUUCUUAAUGGAAAUCUGAUACAGAGCUGUAUAAAGUUAAGCUCUGCACCCUCCCUUGCCAGAGGCUGGUAGUCAGAGAUGGGUAAGUCCUUCUUGCUGGCUGUCAACCUAUGACAGAGUAUACUUGGAGAAAAAUAUAUCUCGAAGAUGGGUAAGACUUGUCUAAUGGAAGAAAGUGACCUAAGACAGACACAGUUAUCUGUGGGUCUGAGGAACACUUUAUAAAAUUAUAAAGAAGGAGGAAUUGUGGGGGCCCACAGAGACCCCAGCUUGUGGCUUGUUUUCAUCUUGACUCAAGUUCAGAGAGUCCGAGCUUGUUUCCCUUCUGUGAGGCUACAUAAUAGGAUGUUUUGGUCAACGGUGUGGUUACCAGAUGUCUUUUACUUCAAGGCCUAUUUACAGGAUGCUUUGCUGUAAGGCAUGGUCACCAAAUGUCUUGAGUACUAAGGAGAUGUUUACACUUAACUGUACGUUGUACUUUGAACCAUGAUGUCCUUGAAAGGGGAAGGUCUUUUUGCCCCUCUUUGCUUUGGGGUAUAUAAAGGCUGUGAGCAAUAAAAUCAAUGUCUGCGGUAUUGACCCAGAACCUCCUGAA